rnacentral:rRNA from 1 species
UACGGAAGGGGCAAGCGUUGUUCGGAAUCAUUGGGCGUAAAGGGCGCGUAGGUGGUUCUGUAUGUCUACCGUGAAAGCAUACAGCUCAACUGUAUUUUGUCGGUAGAAACUGCAGGACUUGAGGCUGGGAGGGGCUGGUGGAAUUCCCUGUGUAGCGGUGAAAUGCGUAGAGAUGGGGGAGAACACCCGUGGCGAAGGCGGCUCUCUGGGACGGUACUGACGCUGAGACGCGAAAGCGUGGGGAGCGAACAGG